GGGGAUGUGGCUCAGUGGUAGAGCUCUUCCCUUGGAUGUGGGAGGUACUGGGUUCAAUUCUCAGCACCA
rnacentral:tRNA from 1 species